rnacentral:lncRNA from 1 species
CCACCAUGACCCUACUGGGACCCACUAUGAGCCUAUUAACCCCAUUGACCCCAUUGAGUCCCAUUGACCCCACUGGGCCCCACCAUGACCCUAUUGAGUCCCAUUGACCCCACUGGGUCCCACCAUGACCCUAUUGAGUCCCAUUGACCGCAUUGAGUCCUAUUGACCCCACUGGGUCCCACCGUGACCCUAUUGAGUCCCAUUGACCCCAUUGAGCUCCAUUGACCCCACUGGGUCCCACCGUGACCCUACUGGGUACUGGGUCCCACCAUGAUCCUAUUGAGUCCCAUUGACCACAUUGAGCCCCAUUGACCCCAUUGGGUCCCACCAUGACCCUACUGGGUCCCACCAUGACCCUAUUCAGUCCCAUUGACCACAUUGAGCCCCACUGACCCCAUUGGGUCCUAUUGAUCCCACUGGGCCCCACCAUGACCCUAUUGAGUCCCAUUGACCCCAUUGAGUUCCAUUGACCCCAUUGGGUCCCACCAUGACCCUACUGGGUACUGGGUCCCACCAUGAUCCUAUUGAGUCCCACUGACUCCAUUGAGCCCCAUUGACCCCAUUGGGUCCCAUUGAUCCCACUGGGUCCCACCAUGACCCUAUUGAGUCCUAUUGACCCCAUUGAGCUCCAUUGACCCCACUGGGUCCCACCGUGACCCUACUGGGUACCACCAUGAUCCUAUUAACCCCAUUGACCCCAUUGAGUCCCAUUGACCCCACUGGGUCCCACCAUGAUCCUAUUGAGUCCCAUUGACCACAUUGAGCCCCACUGACCCCAUUGGGUCCUAU